rnacentral:rRNA from 1 species
AGUGAACGCUGGCGGUAGGCCUAACACAUGCAAGUCGAACGGCGGCACAGUAAGAGCUUGCUCUUACGGGUGGCGAGUGGCGGACGGGUGAGGAAUACAUCGGAAUCUACUUUUUCGUGGGGGAUAACGUAGGGAAACUUACGCUAAUACCGCAUACGACCUACGGGUGAAAGCAGGGGAUCUUCGGACCUUGCGCGAUUGAAUGAGCCGAUGUCGGAUUAGCUAGUUGGCGGGGUAAAGGCCCACCAAGGCGACGAUCCGUAGCUGGUCUGAGAGGAUGAUCAGCCUCACUGGAACUGAGACACGGUCCAGACUCCUACGGGAGGCAGCAGUGGGGAAUAUUGGACAAUGGGCGCAAGCCUGAUCCAGCCAUACCGCGUGGGUGAAGAAGGCCUUCGGGUUGUAAAGCCCUUUUGUUGGGAAAGAAAAGCAGCAGGUUAAUACCCCGCUGUUCUGACGGUACCCAAAGAAUAAGCACCGGCUAACUUCGUG